ACGGAAACUGAUUAAAGAGAAAUGGAAAGAAUAUAUUUGUUUAAAUUUGUCAAAGGAAAUUUUCUAAAAUCAUUGACCUUUUGAGUGCGGCGUCUAGGGUUUGGGCAGCUCUACAACCCUGGCCUCGACGUAUACCUUUUAUGCGCAAAAAAAGUGAAGAAUCGGAGGAAAACGCAGACGGAAACCAUUGAAUUUAUCCAUGAAUCUCAUUUUGAAGUUAACCGAAAAUAGCAUUUUAUGGUGAUCGCACCUGAAGCCAACAUAAAACGCAACGUGGCAGUGAUAUUUGAACGAUGAAAGCACGCAAAAAAUAAAAACCAAAAAACUUCCGCAGACGUCAGCAAGUACCGAGCAAGCAGGCUAAUAAGAAAAAAGAAUAAAUAAACGCGAGUCUGAUACAGAUAAAAUAUAAUGAAAAUAGAAAAUAAAUAUUAGCAGAAGUAGUGUGAUAUUUGUGGGCGGCAACCUGUGCCGUUGUCAUGCAUUUUGUUACACAGCAACGGGCACAAAGUCAGCACCAGCACCAGCCGCAGAAAUCCAAUCCCUCGUCUAGCUCCUCGCUGGCCUCCACAUCUUCCAUCUCCUCCUGUUCUGGAUCUGGAUCUGGAUCGGGCUCGGGAGCAGGGUCGUCACGGUUCGUGGCCCUUCGAAAAUCAGCCAGCCAGGGUGCCCUGCCCAAGUCCUUGGCCACCGCCCAGAGCCUCUUCCUUCGUCCUUCGGCGCAAAGUAAACACAAACGCACUGCCAGCUUGAAUGCGGCGCCCAUGAUUAAAGAUAUUGAUAUAACCGACCCAACAACAUCCAGUGUUAUCCUAACCGCUGCGACUCCCGAUAGUCCGAGCGGUAGUAAGACCCCCGCCAAUGCCAACAUGAUACCCGAGACCACCCAGCCCGAUCAGCUCCAGUCACAGUCACAGUUACAGUCACAGCCACAGUCGCUGUCGCAAACUCAAACACAGUCACAGCUCCAGGAUAAUCCGCUCCUGGACACUCCACAGAAUCCCCAGCAGCAAACGCAGCCGGAGGAGAAGGAGGAGAAGCAGGCGGAUGCCAAGUCCGAUGAGAGCAGUGCUGGCGACAGGCGCGACUCCAUCACCGAGGAGAUCACGAUUACGACCACCACCACCACCAGUACUCUGAGCACCAAGCUACUGACCAUCCAGGAAGCCGCCGGCACCCUCGAACAGAGCAGCCUAUCCAAAUCGUCGUCCUCCAAACAGAUCGCUUCCACGACAGCCGGUGGAUCGCCGCCCAGCAGUGCCCGUCUCUCGCCAAAGCAGCGGCAUGACUCCAGCGGCAGCAGUCCUAGCCUAGGACAAACUGCCACUUCCACGAGUCCGUGCGCCACUUCCAGUCCCCUGAAUGCCUCCUCCCAGGGCGCCACGCCCAGCAUAAAUAUCGUGUCCAGCGACUCGAACCGGGAUCAGCAGCCACUCCAGUCGCAGAGCGUCGACUCGAACGGGUUCAGCGGCGCUCCGAGCGGCGGCGGAUGCCUCACGGAUAGCCCCAGCAGCCGCAAGAGCUCCACCAGUUCCAAGGGGAAGGCGAGCCAGCCCAAGUUGUCCACCUCCAGCAGCGGACGUGAUGAGCAGGACAUCUCCCAGCACCGGCUGAGCGACCUCACUCCCCACGAGCUGAGCCUCCUGCGCGUCGACAGGGAGCAGCAGGUGACCAGCAGCAGUUCCACCUCCAACGAGAAGCCGGCCAAGCCCUCACGGCUCUCGGAGCGGGCCAAGAAGAAGUCCUGGUACAACGUCAUCUAUCCCAACUACAAGUCACGGGCCGAGGACUUUAAGAAGCUCUUCAAGGAUGUGCCCAACGAUGAGCGUCUGAUUGUGGAUUAUUCGUGUGCCCUGCAACGUGAUAUUUUAGUCCAGGGUCGAUUGUAUGUGUCACAGAACUACGUCUGCUUCCACGCCAACAUAUUCUCGUGGGAGACAUUCCUGAGCAUCAAGUGGAAGGAUGUAACGGCCAUUACCAAGGAGAAGACGGCCUUGGUGAUACCCAAUGCCAUUUCGAUAGCCAGCGGCAAGGACAAGUACUUCUUUGCCACGUUCACCUCGAGGGACAAGAGCUUCUUGAUGCUCUUCCGUGUCUGGCAGAACACGCUGAUGAACAAGCAGUUCUCGCCACAGGAGAUUUGGAAGUAUGUGCAUAGCUCCUACGGCGAGGAGCUGGGCCUAACCACCGACGACGAGGACUAUAUCGAUCCCACGCUGGACAACGGCAACGAGACGGACUUUGACUUCCAGACGGCCAUCGACGACGACAGUCAGUCGCAGCGCCAGUCGCAGCAGUCGAACCAGUCCACCCAGUCCAAUCCCCAGCUGCCCCACAGCGGCAACAGCAGCGCCAGCAGCGGCGGCGGUGCCAGCCGUGCCUCAGCGCCCCGCAAAUCUAAAACGAAAUACUUCUUCAACUCAUCCAAGUCCUCGGCCAACGCCUCGGCCAGCGGUUCGGACAACAACAAGACCAGGGAGAGUUCACGGAAACUCAACAAGAAGAUGAAACAGAACGCCAAAGAGUUGACGCUCAGCUCCGUGAAGCCGGCGGAGCAAUCGGUCAGUGUCACCAUGACCCAGGUGCCCCCAGCCAGUAGCAGCAGUACUGCCGGCUCCGCGACGAACACAUCCACCUCCUCCACAAUCGCCAAUCAUUCCGGUUCAGGAACGUUAACUGGUUCGGGAUCAGGCUCUGCCCCUGCAGCUCCUGCAGGUGGCAGCGAUAAGAAGAGUGCAGAAAAGAAAAUAAGUACGGUUUCCAGUUCAGGGGCAGCAGCGACGGCCGGGACGGCCUCAGUGUCCCACGUAGCUGGCACUUCAGGGUGUCCUGCGACGGAAUCCAAACUGGAGACCAAACGCAAGCUGAGCAAAAAUCACAAAAACGCCGAAGAGGCCGUGCCCACAGAUGUGUCCGACUCGUCGGACUCUGAAGCGAACAAUGUUCCAUUUGUGCCCACCACAGAAUGCACCUCCACGCACGAGGGCCGCCAGAUUGUUCACACCAUCCUGCCCAUCAACGUGGACACUCUGUUCAAUAUGCUCUUCAGUAAAUCCAAAUUCCUGACGGACUUCCAUGCCUCGCGCAAGUCCACCGACCUCAUAAUGGGCGAGUGGUCGAGGAACGAGGAGGGCCUGAAUGUACGAACCGUGAACGUCACGGUGCAGUUGGCCGCCUCCGUGGGUCCCAAGUCUUCAAAGGUAACUGAGUACCAGACCAUGCGGGAGUGCAGCAAGCCGGGGGAACUGUAUUCCAUAGACGUAAAUAGUGUAAAUGCAGGCAUUCCAUAUGCGGACAGUUUCAGUGUACUCAUCCACUUCUGUCUGGCCAGAACGGUGGAUGAUCACACGAUGUUGUCGGUGCACACCCAGAUCAAGUACAAGAAGUCGAUUUGGGGCGUUGUCAAGGGAUUCAUCGAGAAGAACACGUGGGCGGGGUUGGAGGACUUCUUCGGCUCCCAGCUGCACGCCCUGCAGAGUGAGACGUGCAUUCCGCCCGCCAAGGGCAAGGGACGUCGUCCGAGGAGAGGAACCGCCACACAAAUACGCCCCCUGGAGGAAGCAGGCGGCACGGCACAGCCGGGCAUUGCCGGCUUACCCGGCGACACCCUGGACACCCAGCCGCUCGUCCCCGGGGCUGCAGUCGGCGCCGCUCCCGGUCAUCCGCUGCUGCUCGAAGGCGGCAAGCUGCACCAGCAGUCCCAUCUCCACCACCAACAGCAGCCGCACCAACACCACCACCUACAGCAGCACCACCACCACCACAAGCAGCAGCAGCAGUUGCACCCGGGCGGCGACGACGACGGCCAGCCACUGGCGAUGGGUCAAGGGCAGGGUCACAGACUCGGUUUCAGAAACAGGGGCUUGUCGUUGUUGGUUAUUCUGUUGCUGUGCUUGAUGCUGGCAUUAAAUGUGAUAUUAUUACUUAAGCUCUGGAAGCUGGAGGAACGGAUUGACGUGGAUCUCAGUCGGCGGGCGCGACUGCCCAGCUUGGCGGCCUUAAAGGAGCUACCUAACACAAAUCAGGAAUGGCUGGAGCUGCUGCGCGAUCAGGAGAUUGCGCACGAAGCCGAGCUGGACAAAUGGCAGCAGGUGCUUCAGACUGCCAUCGAGUUGCUGAAAAAGGUGAGCAAUGUGUGCGAAAAGAUCUACAACGACGGCAAGCUGCGUCAGCGAAUCGAGUCGAUGUCGAUGCCGAUGCCGGCUCCGGCGCACAGUGAAUUCUAAGCGUCUCAUUAGGCCGUGAAUAACAUCAGUGCUACACCACCACCACCCACAUCAGGAACAGAAAUCAGCAAGCGACAGCUAAUUGCAACCUUAACACUCAUAAACCCCCACACACACACACAUGUAUACUUGCAGUGCGUUUCGAAAUUGUAAGACAUUUUGAUGCAGUCUUAGAAUAAGUCGAAGGAGUUUAGUUUUCUCUGGCAGCUAAUUGACACAAUAGUUUGUUCAUUAAAAGAGAAUGAAAAACCUUUCAGAAAAGUCUGUAAUUCAAAAUGCCUUAAAGCCAGGAAGCGCAGUGUUCUAGCGGACAUUUGUAACUGAUCUCUUAGUUAGUCUCUAGCAAUACACAAACCCGAAACUGUUGCAUGUCCUUCUCCCUCUGUUCAGGAAAUGAUUUCUCCACCGCUGACUGAACAACUACAGCCACCGGAGAAAUCAUUUCCUUAGCCAUAAGUUCUGUAUUCCGUAGAGAAAACUCAAGGCGAAGUCAUUUCGAUGUGUACCAUUUAUGAAAUUUAUAAGAACUGAAAUCAUGUUCGAACCAAAAUUCAAAAGUUCAGAAAGAGGCCAGUCCCACACACCCCCAGUCACAAAUUAUAAUUUUUACUGAAAGAACUUUGGCUGAAAUGAUUGUACGCUAAGCAACUAAUUAAAUUGAAAUUGAAAUUGUGCAACUAGCAUAUUAAUCCAAUCCAAUUGUCUUCGACACAAGAAAGCGAAAUACGCAAAGCACACUAGCCCUUGGCGAAGUGCAGAGCCACAAAAAAAAAAAACAAAAUUAAACAAGAAAAUCUGAAAUUGAAUUUAAAAUUCAACUAAAAUUUAGUCACAACCUACAUUGUGUAAGAAGCAAAUUAAGAAAAGAAAAGAAAAGAAACUAACUGUCAUUUUGAAACAUUUACGAUUAUGUUGUAGUAGUUUAAGAGAAGCAGAGUGUAAUCUAGCUCGUAGGUAGCUGCAUUUUAGUUAGAUUAGAGCAAUUGUAUGUUUUUAAUCGCGGCAUUUAUGUACGUGUAGCACCCGUCGUUUGCUUGACUUUGAUUUAGACGAAAGUUUCUACGAAUUCCUCAAGUAUUUCAUAUCUUACAACAUACCAAAAAUCGUAGCGAAUCAAGGAGCGAGCGCCCUGAAUUUUUGUUUUAGAAAAUUCAUUUACACGUCAGAGUGUCUAGUGUCGAGAGGCGAGAGUUGAGAUUUGAGAGUCGAGUAAGCGCAAAAGCUGGCCAAUAAAAGCCCAAUAAGUAUAAUUAAUGUAAUCUGUAGUUGCCACUGUUUUUUUGGCCAGAAAGAAUUUGAUAAAACCGUUUAUACAAAACUGUUUAUUGUGUACGAUAUUUUUGUAAACCAGUCGAAACAAUUGUGAGCAAUGUUUUGGUUCUUUUGUGAAACUCCUGCUACUAAGUCUACACCCCAGAACCGUACACAGAAAACGGAUUUAAAUAUUUAAAGCGCUAAGCCAGAUGAAAACCAAUAAUUGCGUACUCUAUAUACAUUAUAUAUAUGUUACAUAUAUAUGCAUAUAUAUAGCCAAGUAUUGUUAGUCGGUAGUAGUUGCAUUUUAAAUCAAUAAGAGAACCGAAAUUCAAGAAAGCUAAUUAAAGCAGUAACUCGUGCUAGUUUCGAAUGUGAAUCGCAUUAAAAGGAAUAUUAAGGUAAUUAGUUAAGGUCAUGCAUGUUGGUUAACCCAAAAAAACAGUCAAAUUUGAGCCUCAGCCGAGUGGGCUUACAAUUUUUGUCACAACCUAGACUUUUAAGAAACCGAAUGUUACGCCGCAGCAAAGAAAAUUCUAAUUUAUUAUAAAACCGAAUAAAGAAAACAAUGUGUUUAAUUGAC
rnacentral:misc_RNA from 1 species